rnacentral:rRNA from 1 species
CAGUCGCCACGGUAAUACGAAGGGUGCAAGCGUUACUCGGAAUUACUGGGCGUAAAGCGUGCGUAGGUGGUUCGUUAAGUCUGAUGUGAAAGCCCUGGGCUCAACCUGGGAAUUGCAUUGGAUACUGGCGAGCUAGAGUGCGGUAGAGGGUAGUGGAAUUCCCGGUGUAGCAGUGAAAUGCGUAGAGAUCGGGAGGAACAUCUGUGGCGAAGGCGACUGCCUGGGCCGACACUGACACUGAGAGACGAAAGCUAGGGGAGCAAAUGGGAUUAGAGACCCCUGUAGUCCCUGUCUCUUAUAA